CUCUCCCACUUUUGUCAUUACUCCUGUCAUUAGGUUAGAUAUAAAGAAGCACUUCUUUACUGUGAGGAUGGUGAGGCACUGGAAUGGGUUGCCCAAGGAAGUCGUGAAUGCUCCAUCCCUGGCAGUGUUCAAGGCCAAGUUGGGCGGAGUCUUGGGUGACAUGGUUUAGUGUGAGGUGUACCUGCCUUGGCAAGAGGGCUGGAACUUGAUGAUCUUAAGGCCCUUUCCAACCCUAACUAUUCUACAAUUCUAUGAUUACAGGGGAAUUUCUUAUCCAGCGAGGAAAGUGUCUUUAAGUCUCUGAGAUGAUGUCACAGGCAAGAGGAAAUCUCAGUGCACAGCCAGUGCAGUGAAAUUAAGGAUCCUCUAUGGGAAUUGACAGUUUUGACUAGCUGCUUCCAGGGAAAAGAGAGAAAUCCAAAUGACCCAAAUGAAGGUUUCUCUAUAGAGCAAAGAAAUUGGUGAUUAUGAGAGUAGAAGCACCCCUUUCUUUCUGCUGGAGUCAUCAGCCUUAAAGAAAAGGGAAGGGACAUAAACAAAAGAGGGCAAAAUGAAAAGGCACAAGGCAAAGUGCUGAGCCUUCACCUCUCAUCUUCAGAGACAGAAGGAGAAAGAAACUAUUGCUCUUGGCUUUAUUAUCUCCUUGCAUCUGUCUCACAUCUGUGACAGACCUACCCUUGCUUGCCCUGGUCUGGGAUAGCUGCAGGUGGCUGGUAUUUGCUGAGUUAAUUCUGGAUCCAGACUCUAUUUUCUUUGGUGAUAAACAGAUUUUUCAGCCCUCUUGCAUCACUUACUCCUUUUCCAUAUACCUUCUUGUCUGAACUGAUUCAACCAUCUGCUCUGUGGAAACAACAAAUAAUCAAAGUAAAAGAUUUGGGGUUUAAAAGUGUUUUUCUUUACAUGGUUUACAGUGUGACCACAAAAAAUAGUUGGAUAAGCUUAAGUGAGGCAGAAGUACUUUUUGGCAAUGAGAGAAGCAGUUGUGAACAGGGUUCAUUUAAACUGCCAUUGCUGUUAUAAUGCAGAUGAUACAUUAUACAGGGUUAGGUGCUGGUACCCAGAGUGCAUAGAUGAGCAGCAGAAACACUCUAAUGCUGCUUUCUUAAUCUGGUGGCUUUCAGGACCAGGACUAACCAGGAUCAUAUAGUAGAGAGUUUGCAAAAGCAACGUCAUGCACACAUCUUCCACAUUCCUAGACAGGCAGAUUUUACAGCUGGGACCCACCAUUACUGAGCUCAGCUUUCCCACACAACUCUUGUGGAUGUACUGACAUAGACCUGACAUGCUGGCUCUUGGUUUGAUGCCUUUUCAGCCAGAAUCUCCCUUCCACUUCUGCAACCCAACAUGCAUUUUUUUAUGGCUCCUCUUGUUUUUCUGAGCCUUAUGAGCCAACACGAGAUACUUUAUCAUGAGGUUUCUUUGUACUUUUUUUACAACAACAAUAAAGUUUGUUUUUACGUCAGCCUGCCCUGUUUAUUAAAAUCAAAUCCAUUGGGUUCACAUCCAUAUGGUCAAUCUCUUUUUGGUUCCUGACCCACGAAAUUCCUGAUAAUGAUGGUGACUGGCAUAAAGCUUGCCUAAUCACAAUAAAUCCUGUCCAGACUAAGGGCUCUGUCCUGCCCUUGGUGACCCUCUUACGCAUUGCAGCUUUUCAUGUAAGUUUAGACUAGUACUUUUUUAAUCCAGUCUUAUUCAAAACUAAGCAAAUCCCUGCCAUGAUUGUGAAAAUUGGCAGACAGAACCAAGCCAGAAUCUCAGGCAAAAUUAAAAGUGAACAACUUGUGUGAAUAGGCAAUGCGAUGCAUGGUGGGCAAGAUAAACUGCUUAGAAAGCCUGGAAUGGAGCCAUUUGCUUUAGUUAGCCAUACCAAGUGAUGUUAUCCAAGAACCUGGCUUGCUUUUUGAAAAGAAAUGUUUUGGAUGUGCUGGAGAAAUCAGGUGCAUAAAUUACCACUGCUCCUAUGACACUUAAACUUGAAUGACCAGUAUUCGUUCAGUCAACUACAAUAGGUCUCACUGUCCUUGGCAGGAUUACAGGGGUAAUAUUUUUUAACAUUGAUGAGCAGCUCUUGAACAGUUUCUCCAAUGUAUUAAGUCUGAAUGGGCUUUUCUUCAGUAUCAGGUGUGCACAUCUCCUCACACUCGUUUUUCUCCACCAGACAUAUUUAUUCUGAUGGAUAAAACUUCCCUUCCUAUAAAUGUUUGCCUUCUCCAUUCCUUUUAUGGGAACACCACAAACUGAUGGAGUGAUCUUGUUUCAUAUGCCUAGCCUGUCUUAUUCAUUUAUAUAAUCACAGAUGAUAUUCACUAUUGCUAGAGAAUAUUGUUAUGGCUUCUUCAUUGCUUGCAAAGGAACUUGUGAGCAAAGAUAAAUACAGGUUAUGAUAGAUACUCUGCUAAAGACUUUAUCCUGUAGUUUCUUACUGGCAAAAAAAAUCCCAAGGGAUUUUAUAGUACUCAAAAAUAUGUAAGCUUAGCUAAAAAAAAAAAUGCAGUAAAAUAUUGUUGACUUAUUCUGCCUUUAUAAAAAGUUUUGGGGGCCUUGAAAUAUCUAUCCUCUGCUGUCAGCUGGACACUAAGGACUUCAAACCACUAAAACAAACAAGAAUGUAACUGUCUUCUACGUAAGAAUAAUUGAUAGAACAACAUGACUGGUACACAGACCAUAUUAUCUCAACCUCUGUAUCUUAGGGUCUUCAUUUUCUGAAUGAGUACUGC